rnacentral:rRNA from 1 species
UGCAGUCGAGCGGUAGCACAGAGAGCUUGCUCUCGGGUGACGAGCGGCGGACGGGUGAGUAAUGUCUGGGAAACUGCCUGAUGGAGGGGGAUAACUACUGGAAACGGUAGCUAAUACCGCAUAACGUCGCAAGACCAAAGUGGGGGACCUUCGGGCCUCAUGCCAUCAGAUGUGCCCAGAUGGGAUUAGCUAGUAGGUGGGGUAAUGGCUCACCUAGGCGACGAUCCCUAGCUGGUCUGAGAGGAUGACCAGCCACACUGGAACUGAGACACGGUCCAGACUCCUACGGGAGGCAGCAGUGGGGAAUAUUGCACAAUGGGCGCAAGCCUGAUGCAGCCAUGCCGCGUGUAUGAAGAAGGCCUUCGGGUUGUAAAGUACUUUCAGCGAGGAGGAAGGCAUUAAGGUUAAUAACCUUAGUGAUUGACGUUACUCGCAGAAGAAGCACCGGCUAACUCCGUGCCAGCAGCCGCGGUAAUACGGAGGGUGCAAGCGUUAAUCGGAAUUACUGGGCGUAAAGCGCACGCAGGCGGUCUGUUAAGUCAGAUGUGAAAUCCCCGGGCUCAACCUGGGAACUGCAUUUGAAACUGGCAGGCUUGAGUCU